rnacentral:lncRNA from 1 species
CUCAACCUCGGCGGCACUAAAGACUCCUCCACAAGAACACAAUCCCUCAAAGUAGACAAAACAAAAACGACAGUCUCAUCGUCGUCGUUCUCCAAUCCACGAAGCACACCGGAAUACAUCUCCCUCUGCUGCAAAAUCCAACGCAACAAUCCCGGUUUUCCAACCUCCAAAAACGACAUUGCAAAUCCAACAAACGACUUCCUCAACAAAACCUCACUCUUCCCUUCAUUUGUUCCCUUCCUCCUCUUCGCCAACGCCACGAACCCAGCCACCUUGAAAUCAAAUAUCUUUGCCACCUCCGAAGCUAAACUCGGUCCACGCCGAACAAUUGAAGCCGCGAGCAACAACGCCGCUUUCUGACGCUUCAAUUCCUUACUAUUCAACUCCUUAUAUAAAUCAUUCAAAUAUUCCGCAAGAAUCAAACGUGCGAAUUUAUCCAAAUCCCUAGCAACACACGCACUCUCACCAUCGUUGAAACCUUGUUUGUGAUAUUUGUGAAGUUUCUGUUUACCGUCACAAUGACUGAG